AGAUGGGAUUGACCACUCCAAGAGUUGGAGAAGAAUGAGUCGCUGUAUUUCAAUUUAGCAAAACCUUGGCCAGGGUAAUCCAUCAGAUGGAUUUGAUAUUUUAAAAUAUAAUGUGGACAACCUGAUCAGAGUUAACAGUUGAACUCUGGGGUGUCCUAUGAUCAUUUUGGUCAAGGGGAUGAAUUAUAUGAAAACUAUAUCCGCAUGGGUUCUAAGGAUGUUGUUCUACACAUUCGACCUAUCCGGUCGUCGGGUACCAUUGCUAGAUGGUCACUUCGAUUGGUAUAGAAAUUUAUUCUUAUGCUACCAACUUAGGUUCAGACCUAUGAGGUCACACACAUUAGAGUUCAUGAUCCGAUCGGAUGGUUGAUCAACGAUCAAGAAUCGUUCUAGGAUUAAAUGGUCAAUACGAUUGACAUUUAACCCAGUGCAAGUAUUGCAGGAGGAUCGAUUAGCAAUUCGAUUGCUAAUUGGCUUAAUUUGAUUAAGCCAAUGGGCUGAGAUUAAGUCUAAUUAAAUAUGAUUUAAUUAGAUUUAUUUUGGACUUGAUUGGAUCAAGUCCAAUUGGNNNNN
rnacentral:lncRNA from 1 species